GCCCUGGCUGGGCGGUCCUGCCUUUCGGUAGGUACUGCUUUGGCCGGGGUUCGCCUUCUGGUGAGCCGUCAUGCCCUUCGCUGGGUGUGGCGGGGAACCAGGACUUUUACCUUGAAAAAAUUAGAGUGUUUAAAGCAGGCAUCCGCUUGAAUACAUUAGCAUGGAAUAAUAGAAUAGGACUUUGGUUCUAUUUUGUUGGUUUCUAGGGCCGAAGUA
rnacentral:rRNA from 1 species